rnacentral:rRNA from 1 species
UUCCGGUUGAUCCUGCCAGACCUGACUGCUAUCGGAUUGAUACUAAGCCAUGCGAGUCAUUGUAGCAAUACAAGGCAUACGGCUCAGUAACGCGUAGUCAACCUAACCUAUGGACGGGAAUAACCUCGGGAAACUGAGAAUAAUUCCCGAUAGAACAUUAUACCUGGAAUGGUUUAUGUUUCAAAUGAUUUAUCGCCGUAGGAUGGGACUGCGGCCUAUCAGUUUGUUGGUGAGGUAAUGGCCCACCAAGACUAUUACAGGUACGGGCUCUGAGAGGAGUAGCCCGGAGAUGGGUACUGAGACACGGACCCAGGCCCUAUGGGGCGCAGCAGGCGAGAAAACUUUGCAAUGUGCGAAAGCACGACAAGGUUAAUCCGAGUGAUUUGUGCUAAACGAAUCUUUUGUUAGUCCUAGAAACACUAACGAAUAAGGGGUGGGCAAGUUCUGGUGUCAGCCGCCGCGGUAAAACCAGCACCUCAAGUGGUCAGGAUGAUUAUUGGGCCUAAAGCAUCCGUAGCCGGCUCUGUAAGUUUUCGGUUAAAUCUGUACGCUCAACGUACAGGCUGCCGGGAAUACUGCAAAGCUAGGGAGUGGGAGAAGUAGACGGUACUCGGUAGGAAGUGGUAAAAUGCUUUGAUCUAUCGAUGACCACCUGUGGCGAAGGCGGUCUACUAGAACACGUCCGACGGUGAGGGAUGAAAGCUGGGGGAGCAAACCGGAUUAGAUACCCGGGUAGUCCCAGCUGUAAACUAUGCAAACUCAGUGAUGCAUUGGCUUGUGGCCAAUGCAGUGCUGCAGGGAAGCCGUUAAGUUUGCCGCCUGGGAAGUACGUACGCAAGUAUGAAACUUAAAGGAAUUGGCGGGGGAGCACCACAAGGGGUGAAGCCUGCGGUUCAAUUGGAUUCAACGCCGGG